GACGUAGGGGGCAAGCGUUGUCCGGAUUCAUUGGGCGUAAAGAGCUCGUAGGCGGCUUGGCAAGUCAGAUGUGAAACCCUCAGGCUUAACCUGGGGCCGCCAUCUGAUACUGCUAUGGCUAGAGUCCGGUAGGGGAUCGUGGAAGUCCUGGAGUAGCGGUGAAAUGCACAGAUCUCAGGAGGAACGCCAGUGGCGAAGGCGGCGAUCUGGGUCGGUACUGACGCUGAGGAGCGAAAGCGUGGGGAGCAAACAGG
rnacentral:rRNA from 1 species